rnacentral:snRNA from 1 species
GUGGUUGCUUCGGCAGCACAUAAAGUAAAAUUGGAACGAUAUACAGAAGAUUAGCAUGGCCUCAGUGCAAGGAUGGCACACAUAUAUGUGAAGCAUUCCAUGUUUUG